CCGUACAACCGAAAUAUUUUAUAAAAUUUUAAACCGCAAAAUAGGCCUUAAGUAGCGCAAAAAUUGGCAAAAUAAACUCGAAAGAAGUUGCAAAAUUUCGACACUUUUUAUGCUUCUACAAAAUGAGAAUGCAGGGCCGGACUCGUUCCUAACCCCGGUCUCCCGGUGCUUCAAGCCCGUACUAAUUACAAAUCUGAAAGCCCCAGUUAAUUUUCGUCGUAAUCAGAAAUGAGUAAUAUCAUGACUUUGGUGAAAAUCGGGGCUGUGGGGGGCAUAGCGACGGUCACGAUGGGCUUAUUAUACCGAAAUAAGAUUGAGCAAAACAUUAAAGGCACCGUUUAUUACAAAGAAGCCUUAAGGACUGUGCGAACCAACCGAGGGGCAGUGCACCUCCUCGGCGAGCCAAUCAAAGACGGAAAAAUCGACCUAGACGACACGGAAACGAACUUCACGAGCGAGAAUUCCGCCCAUUACGAAGUCCCCAUAAGGGGGCCCAAGCAGAAAGGGCGAGUAUAUUUCUGGGCCAGUAAACAUGACAACAACUGGGUCGUAUACAGAGUAGAGUUAGGGUUAGAAAACGAGCCCGAUCGGAGGUUACUAAUUAAAAACCAGGACCAGUAAAUUAAUAAAAGUUUAUUUCUCCUUGUAUAUACACAAUAAAUUACCAGAAAUUGUUGGGUAAAAUCCCA